UACGUAGGGGGCAAGCGUUGUCCGGAAUCAUUGGGCGUAAAGCGCGUGUAGGCGGCCAGAAAAGUCCGCUGUGAAAACUCGAGGCUCAACUUCGAGCUGUCGGUGGAAACUUUCUGGCUAGAGUCCGGAAGAGGAGAAUGGAAUUCCUGGUGUAGCGGUGAAAUGCGCAGAUAUCAGGAAGAACACCCGUGGCGAAGGCAGCUCGCUGGGACGUUACUGACGCUGAGACGCGAAAGCGUGGGGAGCAAACAGG
rnacentral:rRNA from 1 species